rnacentral:rRNA from 1 species
UUGGUUGAUCCCGCCAGUAGUCAUAUGCUUGUCUUAAAGAUUAAGCCAUGCAUGUCUAAGUAUAAGCUUUUAUAUGGUGAAACUGCGAAUGGCUCAUUAAAACAGUUAUAGUUUAUUUGAUGUUUGUUUCUACAUGGAUAACCGUGCUAAUUGUAGGGCUAAUACAUGCUCGGGCUGUUUACAGUUGCGUUUAUUAGACCUAAAACCUCCCCGCUUUUGCGGUGUUUCGGUGAUUCAUAAUAAAUUAGCGAAUCGCAUGGCUUUGCCGGCGAUGUAUCAUUCAAGUUUCUGACCUAUCAGCUUUGGACGGUAGGGUAUUGGCCUACCGGGGCAACGACGGGUAACGGGGAAUUAGGGUUCGAUUCCGGAGAGGGAGCCUGAGAAACGGCUACCACAUCUAAGGAAGGCAGCAGGCAA